rnacentral:rRNA from 1 species
UGAGGAAUAUUGCACAAUGGGCGCAAGCCUGAUGCAGCGACGCCGCGUGGGUGAAGAAGGAUUUCGGUCUGUAAAGCCCUUUUCUGUGUGACGAGAGUGGACGGUAGCACAGGAAUAAGUCUCGGCUAACUACGUGCCAGCAGCCGCGGUAAAACGUAGGAGGCAAGCGUUAUCCGGAGUUACUGGGCGUAAAGGGCGUGCAGGUGGUUCAAUAAGUUGGUUAUGAAAGCUCCUGGCUAAACUGGGAGAGGUUGACCAAGACUGUUGAACUUGAGUGGAUGAGAGGUCAACGGAAUUCCGCGUGUAGUGGUGAAAUGCGUAGAGAUGCGGAGGAACACCAGUGGCGAAGGCGGUUGACUGGCAUUUAACUGACACUGAGACGCGAAAGCAUGGGUAGCGAA